GCAAUAUGGACCGUGGGCUUCUGAUUCCGAUUAGAAGUUCUGCUUCAUCCAGGAGCUUAAGAGGAAGCUGCUUUAGGCCAGCAGUCGGGCCCCUGGUUCAUCUCCUAGCCCACCAGGGAAGAGAAAAGCCUCUCCUCAUAGCUGAGGCCUAAUCCUUCCUUUUAAACUGGAGGGGCUGCAGACUGAAGCUCCGACCUGCCUGGAAAGCUGCUGCUCUCCUGCUGACCUGUGAGCCUGGACGCCUCAGUGGGAGGCAAUUAUUAUUAAAAACAGUACAUAACAGCUGCAGCCUUGAAUAUAUAGAGCAAAAGGGUUUCAACUAAAGGGGCACCUCAGAUCAGCCAGGUAAGCUUUAUAAAGGUCAUUAUUUAAAUAAAAGUGGAAACUUGGGGUUGGAAGAGACCUCAGGAAUCAUCUCGUCUAGCCCCCUACUGAUAGGUAGCCCUUCAGCCCCUGCUCAAAAACUGCCAGUGAAGGAGAGGCCACCGGUUCUCCUGUCCAAAAGCUCAAACCACCAGGGACUUCUUCCUAAUGUUUAGGCUAAAUCCUUUUCCUUCUGAUUUGUAUCCACUGGUUCAGUAGCUACCCUCUGGGAGCAACAUAAAAUGAAUUUGAGCCAUUGUGUGUGUAACAGCCCUGCACAUAGUUGAAGGUGGCCAUCAUAUUGCCUCUUAAUAGUCUCUUCUCCAGGCCAGCCAACUCCAAGGACUUAGAAUCAUAGAAUCAUAGAGUUGGAAGAGACCACAAGGGCCAUCGAGUCCAACCCCCUGUCAAGCAGGAAACACCAUCAGAGCACUCCUGACAUAUGGUUGUCAAGCCUCUGCUUAAAGACCUCCAAAGAAGGAGACUCCACCACACUCCUUGGCAGCAAAUUCCACUGUCAAACAGCUCUUACUGUCAGGAAGUUCUUCCUAAUGUUUAGGUGGAAUCUUCUUUCUUGUAGUUUGGAUCCAUUGCUCCGUGUCCGCAUCUCUGGAGCAGCAGAAAAUAACCUUUCUCCCUCCUCUAUGUGACAUCCUUUUAUAUAUUUGAACAUGGCUAUCAUAUCACCCCUUAACCUCCUCUUCUCCAGGCUAAACAUACCCAAGUCCUUAGCUGUUCCUCAUAAGGCAUCGUUUCCAGGCCUUUGACCAUUUUGGUUGCCCUCCUCUGGACACGUUCCAGUUUGUCAGUGUCCUUCUUGAACUGUGGUGCCCAGAACUGGACACAGUACUCCAGGUGAGGUCUGACCAGAGCAGAAUACAGUGGCACUAUUACUUCCCUUGAUCUAGAUGCUAUACUCCUAUUGAUGUAGCCCAGAAUUGCAUUGGCUUUUUAGCUGCCGCGUCACACUGUUGGCUCAUGUCAAGUUUGUGGUCAACCAAGACUCCUAGAUCCUUUUCACAUGUACUGCUCUCAAGCCAGGUGUCACCCAUCUUGUAUUUGUGCCUCUCAUUUUUUUGCCCAAGUGCAAUACUUUACAUUUCUCCCUGUUAAAAUUCAUCUUGUUUGUUUUGGCCCAGUUCUCUAAUCUGUCAAGGUCGUUUUGAAGUGUGAUCCUGUCCUCUGGGGUGUUAGCCACCCCUCCCAGUUUGGUGUCAUCUGCAAAUUUGAUCAGGAUGCCCUUGAGUCCAUCAUCCAAGUCGUUGAUAAAGAUGUUGAAUAAGACCGGGCCCAAGACAGAACCAUUGAUGAGCACCCUUUGGGUUCAGUCAGUCAGCCAUUAAUUCAUUAUAAUUUUUUUCCCCAGAAGUCUUUCACCUUGGGACAGGUCCACCACAUAUGAUAGAAGGUACCUUCCUUUUCUUUACAUUUCCAACAUAGAUUAUCACAGUGAUGGUAAAUCGUCGCCAGUUUAGGACUUCCGGGGUGGCGCCAUCGGCAAUGGCGGAUUCCCUCUGAUCCGGAGGGACCAGCUCCAUGGGAAACGGGUCUUUCCCGCUACGGCGAAGUGGGGACCCUUUCAAAAAUCACAGGCGGAUGAAGCCUGUGACCAUGGGACUCGGCGGGCACCUUUAGCGCCCCCCCAACCCGCAAGGGAACCCACUAACGGGCUCCGGAGCAAAGAGGGGGAAGUGGCGCGGUGCUGAGAGUCAACUGCUUCUUCCGUGGAGCAAAGCCGCACAGCCAGUUUAACAGGGGUUAAAUACCAUCUAUACAUCAUUUUCAUAAUAUUUUCCUUUAACAUUGUACAUGCAGUAAACUUAACCCCUUUCUCCGUUGCCGGAGAGCGCUGCCUUUUUCCUGGGACAAUUUGGCUUUCAAAACAAUCACCCGUGAGUACUUAAACUUCAGACAAUUGGACUUUAAAUAAUGAUUUGCGAGUAGAAAGGAAAAUUGGACUAAGAAAUUUACCUCAAUUUGGCACUGAAAUGGGAAGGUCUAAACAGGAAGUCAGCCUUCCGUUUCUUUGUAGAUAGAUUAAAGCAAAGACAUGGCAAACUAGAGUUCAGAAAAUCGCUUGUAAAGGAUUAACUUUCAUCAUUUAAAAUUGUUGAACCCCCUUCGGAAGCAGGAGAAGAGGGGGGAUUUUUUCCGGACUGUUUAAACCUGCAGAAGAGAGUGUAAAGUAAAGUAACUUUCCACCGUCUUGAUCCUGGAGCGGGGUGUCAGGACUGACGUUCUUUGGGAAGCUCAUUGACCAGAGACGAACGUUUUUGACAGAUAGUUAAAAGAAGAGAAACAUAGUGAUUCCAUUGUUCCCCUUUGCAUUUUAAAGGAACAAAUAUUGACAAAAUACCUGAAAAAGGAAACUUUGUUGUUAGAUCUGCCUUUAAAAGAAAAGAACAAAUAGAAGUUCUUCCCCUAGAGGGAGCCUGUGAAACUGUUACCAAUUUUGAAUCGGGGAGCAUGCAGCUGCAACAGAUUACGAUCGUGGGAAUAGACUUCUGACCUUGCAGAACAAUGUAUUCAGAAGCUCUGCUGUGUGCUUUCUGCAAUACAAGUGCCCUACUGGAACAGCUACAUGAGAAGACGGACUUGAUGACUGUUGCGAUCAGAAAUUUUGGACAGGCAGUGGGAAACUAUAUAGAGCCCACCCAGGAAUCAAAUCAGGAGUGUGCUCUGACAGAACAGAUGAGGGAAGAGGAUGUUGCUGAACCUUGGGCGCCAGAGAUGGAGGGAGUUGUGGCCCAGCAGGAACAUGAGUUCUUGGAUCUGACAAAUGAACUUGGAAAAAGCCAGAUUUGGAAAGAUAAAGUUUGGUUUGGUUUGGAAAUGGGGGGUUGGAUAGACCCCCCCUAUGCAGGGAUGUUUGGACUUUUCAAGUCUGGCAAUGGGCCGCGAGAUGUUUGGGGUUGUGGGGGCUCUUAAUUCUGGUGGGACUUUGAAACAUGUUUUUAAAUACCACAUGGAGUUUAGUGUGGACUAUGGAAAAGGGGCUGAUUUGUCGAGAAGGGUCAAAAACACUGUUAAGUUGGAGUUCCCACGAGUGAAAGGAGCAGGAGACAAAGUAAAGUACAGGUAUAAAUAUGAAGAAGAGCCGCGGAAGGGACAUGGAAGAGACUUAACGGCCUCGGACAUAAGAUUACCAGGUUAAUGCGCUAGAUUGAUGGGAUAGAAAGGACUGACAAAACCCGGGACUAGGAGGAAGAGACGCUGGAUGAAGAUUGGAAGAAAAAAAAAUUUUUUUUAUUAGGAUUGUCUUAUAAAAUUGAUGAACGUUAGAAAAAUGUUGGAACGAAAUUAUUUGGCUUUAGUAAAAAUGUUUAAAGAAUUAUGUAAGAAUAUUAUGGUUAUGAGAAAUUGGUAUAAAUAAGAUCUAAGUUUUAAGUUUUAAGGUCUUUUAUAGCGAGAUAAGAUUAAAAUAGAUUAAGGUAAUGUAAUGACAGAAUAUUAUGAAAAAUGGAAAGGAUUUGCUGUGACAAUUAACAACCAGGAUACAAAAAAAGGGAGGAGUGAGGAGGUCAAAGAAAGAAGGUAAUGACAGUUAAGGAUUUGAGAAUAUUGGAUUUGUUUUUAAAUGUUUGUGGCCUAUUUUUGUUUUUUGACUGUGUUGUGUUAUUGUUUGAUGGUGGUUUGUUUCUCCUUUGUUUUUUCCCCCUCUCUUUUUCUUUUUUGUUUUUUUUUCUGUAAUUCUAAAAUUCUUAAUAAAUAUCAUUUUAAAAAAAAAUCGUCGCCAGUUUAACAGGGGUUAAAUACCAUCUAUACAUCAUUUUCAUAAUAUUUUCCUUUAACAUUGUACAUGCAGUAAACUUAACCCCUUUCCUCCAAAGUUUCUCCCAGUGCUCCGUCAUUAUGUUAUGUCUCCCUUGAGUGAUUCAUAUUUCAUCCUUUGUUGGCCCAGCCCCACCGCAGACAAAGACAAGCAAUUGGAGUGAUAUUAGCCAGGCAGGGCAGCUCUUUGUCUCCUGAUACUGUGCUGCUAAACUGUCAGCCAGUGGUGCAAAGCCUUGAGUGUAUUAGCUCUUUCCCUGCCCAGGGCACUCUCUUUCUCCAGAUGCCUCCACUUCUUUGGCCUGAAAUCAGCUUGUGGUGCCAGCAAGCCUAUGCUACAAAUAUGGAAACUUGGAAACCUAAUUAACAUUCAUUCCUUGAAACGGAGAGUUUUUUCAUGCAGAGAGAGAGAGCGCGUGCAGGUCUGGUGUCCAGGGUCAGCCUGUUCAAAAAGCCCACAGCCCAGAAGGGAGGGGACCAUUUACAAGGCCAGACCAGGGCGUGCACCAUUCAUGCUUGAACUGCAGGUCACCCUAUGCACUGGAAUGGGGCAGUAUUGGUAUGCAACAAUGGUACUGAAUACCAGUGUUGGUAGUGUUUUUAUAUAUGUUGGAAGCAGCCCAGAGUGGCUGGGGCAACCGUCAGAUGGGCGGGAUACAAAUAAUAAAUUAUUAUGAAUGAAUAAUAAUAAUAAUAGUGACCCCCACUUGAGAAAACAGGGUCUUAUAAGUAACACCUCCCAUUGCCAUGUGUUAUGCAAUGAGACACCAAGGAGUUUUGUGUCUGUUUUUCAAGGGGUCCUCAACAGACCAGUCAAUUGGGGGGGGGCCUCUGUGGUGGAACUGAUGCUGAUGCUCUGCAUGCAGAAGGCACCAUGUGGGCCCUGUUUCCAGGCAAGGGGCUCUUGAAUAGAUACUGAUAUUAUACAAAAAAAUGGGGUUGGCUUUUACAGCCCAACUCCCCAUCAUGGGAUUCCGUGUCCCCUAAGCCCAUCAUUUAAUCAGAUAAGAAGGGAUGGAGGCAGGAACCAAUCAAAGCAAGGCAGAUCUUUAUUUUUCUGUUGCAACAGAGUCCCCCCUGGCUCCCUGCAACUUGCAAGGAGGUGAGGUCGCAGUUGACAAAGACUUUUGAAAUUGCCCAAGCCACUGACCACUGGUCCUGUUAGCUAGGGAUGAUGGGAGUUGUAGUCACAAAACAUCUGGAGGGCCGAGUUUGCCUAUGCCUACCUUAGUCAAAGACCACGUGAAAACAUCAUACCUCACAGAAAGAGGUAUCUACAAUAGAUAAUAUGCCCGUAAGAUAGGAUUUUUAUAUGCCUUUUGUCUUUGUCCAUGGAGUUUUCUUGGCAGGGAUAUUGGAGUGGCUUGCCAGUUCCUGCUCCAGGUGGAUCACGUUUGGUCAAAACUCUCCACUAUGACCUGUCCAUCUUGGGUGGCCCUGCACGGCAUAGCUCAUAGCUUCUCUGAGUUAUUCAAGCCCCUUUGCCACGGCAAGGCAGUGAUUCAUGAAGGGGCAUUUCCAGACUAAACAUACCCAACUCCAUCAACCAUUUCUCCUAAGACUUGGUUUCCAGUAACUUGACCAGCUACAAAGCCAUCUAACAGUUACCUCAUCCAGUCCACAUUUUACCAGCUUCUCUACAAUAAUAUUGGGGGGAGGGGGCUUUAUCAAAAGCCUUAAUGAAACUCACAGCAUUCCUCUGAUCCAACAAGCUUGUAACUAUCAAAAAAAGAAAUGGAGGCAGUGAUAGAUUUUACUUUCUUGGGCUCCAUGAUCACUGUAGAUGGUGACGGCAGCCACAAAAUUAAAAGACGCCUGCUUCUUGGGAGAAAAGCAAUGACAAACCUAGACAGCAUCUUAAAAAGCAGAGACAUCACCUUGCCAACAAAGGUCCGUAUAGUAAAAGCUAUGGUUUUCCCAGUAGUGAUGUAUGGAAGUGAGAGCUGGACCAUAAAGAAGGCUGAUCGCCGAAGAAUUGAUGCUUUUGAAUUAUGGUGCUGGAGGAGACUCUUGAGAGUCCUAUGGACUGCAAGAAGAUCAAACCUAUCCAUUCUGAAGGAAAUCAGCCCUGAGUGCUCACUGGAAGGACAGAUUGUGAAGCUGAGGCUCCAAUACUUUGGCCACCUGAUGAGAAGAGAAGACUCCCUGGAAAAGACCUUGAUGUUGGGAAAGAUGGAGGGCACAAGGAGAAGGGGACGACAGAGGACGAGAUGGUUGGAUAGUGUUCUCGAAGCUUCCAGCAUGAGUUUGACCAAACUGCGGGAGGAAGUGGAAGACAGGAGUGCCUGACAUGCUCUAGUCCAUGGGGUCAGGAAGAGUCGGACACGACUAAAGGACUAAACAACAACAACAGUCUGGAAAUGAGGAGACUGAGAGGAUAGCUAUCUUCAACUGUCUAAAGAGCUGUCACAUGGAAGAGGAUGCAAGCUUGUUUUCGCCUGCUCUUUAGAGUAGGACUCAAACCAAUGGCUUCCAGUUAGAAGAAAGGCGAUUCUGACUAAACAUCAGGAAGAACUUUCUGACCGUAAGAGCUGCUUGUCAGUGGAAUGGUGGCACUGUUUGACAGUGGAACGGUCUCUUGUGGAAGGUGGUUCCUUCCAACUCUACAAUUCUAUAAUUCUUUGAUGCAUGUCACCUCUUGCUUGCCUUUCAUCAGAACAUAAAAGCCUCUAAUACUGUAACCUUUCCUUCUAUGGGUGACACUCCGUCCCCUUGAUCACAUGGGUUGCCCUUUUCUGAACCUUUACUAAAUCAUUCUUGACAUGAGGCCAGCAGGAUUAUACACAGGACUCCAAGUCUGGUUGCAACCCAGAUUUGUAGAGACAUCACAAUAUAGGCAGUUUUAUUUUCAAUCCCUUUCCUAAUAAUUCCUAGCGUGGGAUUCACCUUUCUCAUAACUGCAGGAGGCAGUGGAAGACAGAAGUGCCUGGCGUGCUCUAGUCCAUGGGGUCACGAAGAGUCGGACACGACUAAACGACUAAACAACAACAAAACACCUGUAAAAUUAGCAAAAAUGUAUAGAACUGCUUCAAAUGUUUGCUGGAAAUGUAAGGAGAAAGAACACACGUUCUACCAUAUGUGGUAUUCUGGGAAAUGAUUUACAAAGAGUUGAAAAAAAUGUUUAAAAUAACAUUUGUGGGGAAAAACAGAUGCUUUUUUUGCUAGCUAUUCUAGGUACAGAGAUUCUGAAGGAGCAGAAACAACUAUUCGUGUAUGCAAUGACAGCAGCGCGGAUACUACUGGCCCAGAGAUGGGAAGAAGUUGAAGUUCCAGCCAGAGAUGAAUGGCUGAUGAAGAUGAUGGACUACACCAAAAUGGCAAAACUGACUGGGAAAAUCAGAAAUGAGGAAGAGAAGAAUUUUAGGAAGGAAUGGGAAAAAAUUAUAAUGUAUUUAAGAGAAUACUGUAAACAACUAAAAACCCUUUGGCAGGAUUGAAGUAAUGCUUGUAAUGUACAAAAAACUAUGGAAAAACGGAUUACUAUUCUUUUUAAAAAAUAGAGAAAAUAAUGGUAACCGUGGAAGGACAGAGGGAAGUCAAAGGAUUCAGGGAAUCCUAAAUGAUGGUGUCAGGGGUUCAGGAGCAGAGGCAAGGGCAAGGGAGGAAACAGAGAGCGAGGGGGAGGAGGCAGAAGAAAAGAUGAGUGAUGACGACGACCCGAGAUCUCCGAGUCUUUCCAGUGAAUCAGAAGAUUCACAGAAAGGAGCACCAGUGGCCAGGGCAAGGGGGAGCCUAGGGGACGCCCCAGGAAGAUAGAGCCAGAGGGGACUCAGAGGGGAGCAGUUGGAAAUCGGGACCAGCGUCACCGCCAGAGAGCAGGGAAGAGGAAGGGAGCCAGGGAUCAAGCGCUGGCAGCUCACAACAGGGGGGAGGGCACGAGUCAGGAGUGGCCACACCUCCAUCGGGGAGCGAAGAAACGGUCAGACGGAAGGUGGAAGGUUGGGCGCGCGCGCCAAGUUCAAAUGCACAGGAAGGUGGCACAGUAGGCAGCCCGGAAAGGGAGCCAGGUCCUAAAGCCCGCCGAAAGGAGGGAGAAGAGUCAGGAGCGUCAGCGUCAGAGGAAUCCCGGAAAGAAGAGACCCCAGGGGGCAGAGGGACCCAGAGAAGAACAGUCAGGCGGAAAAGGUGGAGCAGGGCUAGGAUAUUAAGUUGGUGUACAAGGGGCGGAGACUCAGACGGAGCUUCGCCGGUCUAACCAUGAGACGUAGAGUUGCACGCAGCAGUUUGAGAAUGGAAACUGUAACUCAAUAAAGACUUUUGUUUAAUGAUCGCUGGCUAGCGUGAUCCUCUGUGAGCUAGGAUCUGGAAGCAGCUCUGACAGUAAGCUCCGUCUCACUAAAUUGUGGGCAUCUACAGCCUCGCGGAGAGGAGAGAAAGCGGGUGCCUACUAGCGAGCUCACGAAAGGCAGACAAUAUGACGGCCGAACAGCAGAUAGCGGAACUCAGAGAAGCAGUGUCACGACUGAAUGCCGAGGCUCUUGCAUCCAGGAAGAGAGAGGAGGACGCAGCUGCCGCCUACAGGGAUCUCCAGGUCAGGUUGGAAGUGCUUACGAAGCAAGGGCAACUGACACCCAAACCGGAGGGGAUUGGGUUGGGGAGACGAACAGGCGGUCUGGUCUCUCACUUCGAUGGGAAUUUGCAACAGUACCCCAACUUUAGAGCAGAUGUAAUGU
rnacentral:lncRNA from 1 species